UACGUAGGGGGCAAGCGUUGUCCGGAAUCAUUGGGCGUAAAGCGUGCGCAGGCGGUUUGCUAAGACAGGUGUGAAAUCCCCGGGCUUAACCUGGGAACUGCGCUUGUUACUGGCAAGCUGGAGUGUGGCAGAGGGGGGUGGAAUUCCACGUGUAGCAGUGAAAUGCGUAGAGAUGUGGAGGAACACCGAUGGCGAAGGCAGCCCCCUGGGCUAACACUGACGCUCAUGCACGAAAGCGUGGGGAGCAAACAGG
rnacentral:rRNA from 1 species